UUUUUUUUUUUUUUUUUUGCAGAUUAGGUUCCUCAGUAUCCGAGUAAAUAAGAGAAAGGCAAUUUACUAAAUAAAAAAAAUAGCUAAAAUAUGAAUACAUCUUGUAAAAAAUAAUGCUACUGGUUUGUUUGUUUUCCGGGCUGAGAGCAGAUGUUGGUAUUAGUUUUGGUUUGUUGGGGGUAGGGUGUAUUUUUAACUUAAAGAAAUGUGUUGUAUCAAUUGAUCCAGCCCACUUUGAGAACACCUCACCUACAGGGACUAUAUCCUAGAAUAGGCAUAAGAACAGAAAAGGCACUCACAGAACUAUAGUAGUUAACACAACCUGUCCUGGUGGGACCGCACUUAUCACAGAGUUCCAGAGGCGUGUACCUGGAGUUCAAGGCCGACCUGGGGGUGAAUAGCAAAUCCCAGGUCCUGAAGACCUACACCGUGAGAAACGAUAAAUUAAGUUACCGUACACUGGAAAACCUCAAAGGGGGUUAAUAUGACUUCUGGCUGUCUGUUCUCCAGCUGGAGCUCUUAGAAGCUGGUGGAGAAGUUUGAUGAGUUCCCUGCUUGAUGUUUAAGUCCCGGCCCCUUUUUGUGGAUCUGCAUGUAAGACGGUCUUUUUUAAAGAAGCAGGCUAUCUAAUCACGGAGAGAAAACCAAAAGCUCCUAGACUGCACCUUACUGCGGCAGGUAAUGGCGGCACAUUAUGAAGUAAGCCCUUGCUAGGUCCCUAGGAGGAACCCAGCGGAAUCACCUGUAAGUCAACACCAGAGGGCUUCAUCAAUCUAGUUGGCCACGAACAGCCAUCUUGUGAACCGAUGUGGCAGCUCGGGAGACCAGAGAUGCUGUAAGGAUGAGCUGGAAAUUUGUGUGACUCCCUGAGAGAAGAGUGCCUGGACAUGACCCCCGACCCCCUUGGCUGCUCUGCCUUCCUGCUUCGGCCUCACUUGCCUUCUUGAGCUCCCGUGGUCCAGCUGACUCCCAGACCACUGCCUGGCUGGUUCACAGGGCCACUAUGGCUUCUCCCAGUCAUCAUUGGAUGGUCCUUAGCAAAUGAGACCAAGUCUUCCUGAUACAUUGUAUCCUGCUGGGAGAUUGGCAGAAUCAAAGAUAUGAUUUGGAACCUCUGAACGUUACAGAAUUUCUUGAGAUUAGUAGGUGCCUCAGAACACACCCAGCCUUUCUUCUCUCCGUGGGACGGUUCAGGGUAUACCGUCAAGAUAGAUGCAUGAGAACGGUUCGCAAUCAAAUUCCUACCUGGUUCCCGCUGCAACAGCCACCUCUGUCCUUCGGAGCGUGUUGCUACCAGACUUGUUUAUCUACCAGACUCCUUUCAGUACAGAUGAGAGCUCCACUUCUAUCUGUAGUUAUCGUCCUUUCCCUGUGAAUGUCCCCCUGAACGACUGUUCUAAUUCUUAGUAGAGAAACUCGCUCGUCCUACAUAUGAACUACAGCUGCAAACAUUUUCAAAAGAGGUGAAGUCAUGCAGUUUUAUAAGACAUAGUCAAGUGUCAACACUUUGCUAGGACUCUUGGUAACCAAGGGUGACUCAGGAUUGACAUUCCGUUGUGCUAGAGGGGAACUGAGACCCUAAAACCUGUUGUCCCCCCC
rnacentral:sRNA from 1 species